rnacentral:tRNA from 1 species
UCCUUGGUGGUCCAGUGGCUAAGACUCCACACUUUCAAUGCGGGGGAUGUAGGUUCAAUCCCUGGUUGAGGAA